rnacentral:rRNA from 1 species
GAUGAACGCUGGCGGCGUGCCUAAUACAUGCAAGUCGAGCGAACAGACGAGGAGCUUGCUCCUCUGCCGUUAGCGGCGGACGGGUGAGUAACACGUGGAUAACCUACCUAUAAGACUGGGAUAACUUCGGGAAACCGGAGCUAAUACCGGAUCAUAUAUUGAACCGCAUGGUUCAAUAGUGAAAGACGGUUUUGCUGUCACUUAUAGCUGGAUCCGCGCCGCAUUAGCUAGUUGGUAAGGUAACGGCUUACCAAGGCAACGAUGCGUAGCCGACCUGAGAGGGUGAUCGGCCACACUGGAACUGAGACACGGUCCAGACUCCUACGGGAGGCAGCAGUAGGGAAUCUUCCGCAAUGGGCGAAAGCCUGACGGAGCAACGCCGCGUGAGUGAUGAAGGUCUUCGGAUCGUAAAACUCUGUUAUUAGGGAAGAACAAAUGUGUAAGUAACUAUGCACGUCUUGACGGUACCUAAUCAGAAAGCCACGGCUAACUACGUG